GUGCAGCAGUCGCGAAAACUCUGCAAUACGCGAAAGCGUGACAGGGCUACCCCGAGUGUCGUCCGCUGAGGACGACUUUUCCACGCUGUAAGGAGGCGUGGGAAUAAGGAGAGGGCAAGUCUGGUGUCAGCCGCCGCGGUAAUACCAGCUCUCCGAGUGGUAGGGACGAUUAUUGGGCCUAAAGCGUCCGUAGCCGGCCAAGCAAGUUUCCCGUUAAAUCCAGCGAUCCAAUCGUUGGACUGCGGGAGAUACUGUUUGGCUAGGGGGCGAGAGAGGCCAACGGUAUUCCCGGGGUAGGGGUGAAAUCCCAUAAUCCCGGGAGGACCACCAGUGGCGAAGGCUGUUGGCUAGAACGCGCUCGACGGUGAGGGACGAAAGCUGGGGGAGCGAACCGGAUUAGAUACCCGGGUAGUCC
rnacentral:rRNA from 1 species